UACAGAGGUCUCAAGCGUUGUUCGGAUUCAUUGGGCGUAAAGGGUGUGUAGGUGGCGCCGUAAGUCGGGUGUGAAAUUUCGGAGCUUAACUCCGAAACUGCAUUCGAUACUGCGGUGCUUGAGGACUGGAGAGGAGACUGGAAUUCAGGUGUAGCAGUGAAAUGCGUAGAGAUCAUGAGGAAGACCAGUGGCGAAGGCGGGUCUCUGGACAGUUCCUGACGCUGAGGCACGAAGGCCAGGGGAGCAAACGGG
rnacentral:rRNA from 1 species